GAAAUGCGAUAAGUAAUGUGAAUUGCAGAAUUCAGUGAAUCAUCGAAUCUUUGAACGCACAUUGCGCCCGCCAGAAUUCUGGCGGGCAUGCCUGUUCGAGCGUCAUUUCAACCCUCGAGCUCCCCUUGCGGGGGGAGCCCGGCGUUGGGGACGCGGCGCCUACAGCGCCGGCCCCGAAAUGGAGUGGCGGCCCGUCCGCGGCGACCUCUGCGUAGUAACAUCCACUCGCACCGGGACCCGGGCGCGGCCACGCCGUAAAACACCCCACCUUCCGAAUGUUGACCUCGAAUCAGGUAGGAAUACCCGCUGAACUUAAGC
rnacentral:misc_RNA from 1 species